CCUACGGUGUGCAGCAGUGAGGAAUAUUGGUCAAUGGACGCAAGUCUGAACCAGCCAUGCCGCGUGCAGGAAGACGGCUCUAUGGGUUGUAAACUGCUUUUGUACGAGGGUAAACGCAGAUACGCGUAUCUGUCUGAAAGUAUCUUACGAAUAAGGAUCGGCUAACUCCGUGCCAGCAGCCGCGGUAAUACGGAGGAUUCAAGCGUUAUCCGGCUUUAUUGGGUUUAAAGGGUGCGUAGGCGGUCGGAUAAGUUUGAGGUGAAAUCCCGGGGCUUAACUCCGGAAUUGCCUUUGAUACUGUGCGGCUAGAGAGUAGGUGCGGUAGGUGGAAUGUAUGGUGUAGCGGUGAAAUGCUUAGAGAUCAUACAGAACACCGAUGGCGAAGGCAGCUUACCAAGCUACUUCUGACGUUGAGGCACGAAAGCGUGGGGAGCAAACAGGAUUAGAUACCCGAGUAGUC
rnacentral:rRNA from 1 species